CCUACGGGUGGCAGCAGUGGGGAAUAUUGGGCAAUGGGCGCCAGCCUGACCCAGCAACGCCGCGUGAAGGAAGAAGGCUUUCGGGUUGUAAACUUCUUUUCUCAGGGACGAAGCAAGUGACGGUACCUGAGGAAUAAGCCACGGCUAACUACGUGCCAGCAGCCGCGGUAAUACGUAGGUGGCAAGCGUUAUCCGGAUUUACUGGGUGUACUGGGCGUGUAGGCGGGACUGCAAGUCAGAUGUGAAAACCAUGGGCUCAACCGAUGGCCUGCAUGUGAAACUGAAGUUCUUGAGUACUGGAGAGGCAGACGGAAUUCCUAGGGUAGCGGUGAAAUGCGUAGAUAUUAGGAGGAACACCAGUGGCGAAGGCGGUCUGCUGGACAGCAACUGACGCUGAGGCGCGAAAGCGUGGGGAGCAAACAGGAUUAGAUACCCGAGUAGUC
rnacentral:rRNA from 1 species